UACGAAGGGUGCAAGCGUUACUCGGAAUUACUGGGCGUAAAGCGUGCGUAGGUGGUUUGUUAAGUCUGAUGUGAAAGCCCUGGGCUCAACCUGGGAACGGCAUUGGAAACUGGCUUACUAGAGUGCGGUAGAGGGGUGUGGAAUUCCCGGUGUAGCAGUGAAAUGCGUAGAUAUCGGGAGGAACACCGGUGGCGAAGGCGGCAUCCUGGACCGACACUGACGCUGAUGCGCGAAAGCGUGGGGAGCAAACAGG
rnacentral:rRNA from 1 species